rnacentral:rRNA from 1 species
GUCUACGGCCAUGCCACCCUGAACAAGCCCAAUCCUGUCUGAUCUCAGAAGCUAAGCAGGGUCGAGCCCGGUUAGUACUUGGAUGGGAGACCACCUAGGAAGACCAGGUGCUGUAGGCG